rnacentral:rRNA from 1 species
AAAGACCCCAUGGAGCUUUACUGUAGUUUGAUAUUGAGUGUCUGUACCGCAUGUACAGGAUAGGUAGGAGCCGUAGAAAUCGGAACGCUAGUUUCGAUGGAGGCGCUGGUGGGAUACUACCCCUGCGCUAUGGCCACUCUAACCCGCACCACUAAUCGUGGUGGGAGACAGUGUCAGAUGGGCAGUUUGACUGGGGCGGUCGCCUCCUAAAAGGUAACGGAGGCGCCCAAAGGUUCCCUCAGAAUGGUUGGAAAU